UAGCACCGGGCGGUCUGAUGGAUGUGUUUCCAUAGAAGAAGGAAAAAAAGAAGAUGCGACUCCUGUCAGGGAGUCAAAGAUGAAGCCCACAGGCUCUGCAGGUCCAAGACUGACCUCUCAGGACGGUCCAGUGGAGUCAAGCGGAUCCUCAGCAGUCUGAUUUUGUAUCGAGGUCCAAUCACGUUUCCCGUGUUGAUCCUCAUGGAGAUUUUCUGAACCUGCUGCAGAUCAUCAUCGAACUGAGCCAGCAGCCGUGUGGAGGUGUACUGCUCGAACCGCAGGAGCUUACUGUUAUGAUCUUUCAUCAGACGUGUCAAAUCGACUUUUGUUUCACUGUAGGCCUACACGUGAUCAUAACAGUAUUCAUCUGCUAGGGCCACCGCAGAAUCAGGUGAUCCAGGUGUUUCUCGGUCAGACUUACUGGUCUAUUCGAGCCUCGGUGAAGUUUCGUCCACUGUGCAGCCGGAUGUAGACGACCCCCCAGCGGAGGGCAGCGUGGCCGUGGUGCUGAAGAAGACUUUGGUCUGUCCGAGCUGAAGCAGAGUUUCUCUCCACCGGCUGAUAUCGUAACCUGCAGUUCAUGUCGGUGUGAAGAACGUCCACAAACAUGGCGUCCGAGGGGUCGAGCCUCUCGUCCUCUGCAGCGCUGGUGAACAUGGGACCUGCUGGGUCCAGACCUGGAGGACGGGAGGAGGUUUGCUCCCACGAAUCCCGCCAGGUGAGCUCCCAGACUGACGCCGAUGAGGUGAACUGAGCUCAGUGACGCUCCUUCCUCCUGCAGACACAAAACAAACAUCAAAACUCUCUGUUACAGUCAAGGUUACAAACUGAAAAGACUUUGAAUCUAUGCUUCAAUCCGCCUGACUGAAAAUCAAUCCUCAGUCUGCUAUAUGACGCUGAGUAAAGACGUCUUUGGCUCGAUGAUGUGAGGAUUAAGACGCCGAUCAAGAAACCUCGAGCAGAACCAGACUCACGGCCAUCUGUCACGACCGGAGGGACCCAGAAAGUGGGAUGUGGGGUAUGACAGAAAGAGCGACAUGGAUAGAGACAAACUAAACGAGCAACAACCACUGAUAACACAGACUUAAGGCUAACAUUAUGUUGCUGUUGUAAACAAGACUACAUGGAGUGUUUAGUAUCGAAGCCACCAGUGGUUCCCAGUAGCUGCUGGAGGUUCCUGCUCUGCAAUUAUCUCACACAGGAGUCCCACACCGCCCUCAAUAGGAUCAGGCUGCUAUAAAAAACACCUCAUCCCUUCACCACCCGCCCUGCUGUGAAAACAAGAGACUGAAAUGGCCUCAAUCCGGCCCCAAACACACACAUUUGUAGCCCUACUGAUGACAAGCUAGGAGACGGUGUGGUCUUUACUUAGUGUGUGUUUAUUCUUAGACCAACAGAAUGAAACAGAAGCAAGCGCUUUUAUUUUAAACUUCAAUGUGGAGCACUUUUAAACAAUCUGUCUUUUCCCAAGCUUCACUAAGCUGUUUCUGUCUGCAGUCAUACACUUGUUUUGUCUUUUUGUGGGCACUUUGAGUGCAACACAGUUAUUUUGUCUUAGUUUCUUGCAGGAGCAGUCUCUUCUAUAAGAUAAGAACUCUAAGCAGGCUGGAGCUUUCACAAUGACCAACGUUCUUAUUUUCUUUAACUAAUAAGCAGAAUUAUUGUUGUUUUUUCCUACCUUUGCAGAGCAU